AGGAUGGACUCGCGUCCAAUUAGCUAGUUGGUGAGGUAACGGCCCACCAAGGCGACGAUUGGUAGCCGGACUGAGAGGUUGAACGGCCACAUUGGGACUGAGACACGGCCCAGACUCCUACGGGAGGCAGCAGUGGGGGAUAUUGCACAAUGGGGGAAACCCUGAUGCAGCGACGCCGCGUGGAGGAAGAAGGUUUUCGGAUUGUAAACUCCUGUCGUUAGGGACGAUAAUGACGGUACCUAACAAGAAAGCACCGGCUAACUACGUGCCAGCAGCCGCGGUAAAACGUAGGGUGCAAGCGUUGUCCGGAAUUACUGGGUGUAAAGGGAGCGCAGGCGGACCGGCAAGUUGGAAGUGAAAACUAUGGGCUCAACCCAUAAAUUGCUUUCAAAACUGCUGGCCUUGAGUAGUGCAGAGGUAGGUGGAAUUCCCGGUGUAGCGGUGGAAUGCGUAGAUAUCGGGAGGAACACCAGUGGCGAAGGCGACCUACUGGGCACCAACUGACGCUGAGGCUCGAAAGCAUGGGUAGCAAACAGGAUUAGAUACCCUGGUAGUCCAUGCCGUAAACGAUGAUUACUAGGUGUUGGAGGAUUGACCCCUUCAGUGCCGCAGUUAACACAAUAAGUAAUCCACCUGGGGAGUACGACCGCAAGGUUGAAACUCAAAGGAAUUGACGGGGGCCCGCACAAGCAGUGGAGUAUGUGGUUUAAUUCGAAGCAACGCGAAGAACCUUACCAGGUCUUGACAUCCGAUGCAUAGUGCAGAGAUGCAUGAAGUCCUUCGGGACAUCGAGACAGGUGGUGCAUGGUUGUCGUCAGCUCGUGUCGUGAGAUGUUGGGUUAAGUCCCGCAACGAGCGCAACCCUUAUUGCCAGUUACUACGCAAGAGGACUCUGGCGAGACUGCCGUUGACAAAACGGAGGAAGGUGGGGAUGACGUCAAAUCAUCAUGCCCUUUAUGACCUGGGCUACACACGUACUACAAUGGCGUUUAACAAAGAGAAGCAAGACCGCGAGGUGGAGCAAAACUCAAAAACAACGUCUCAGUUCAGAUUGCAGGCUGCAACUCGCCUGCAUGAAGUCGGAAUUGCUAGUAAUCGCGGAUCAGCAUGCCGCGGUGAAUACGUUCCCGGGCCUUGUACACACCGCCCGUCACACCAUGAGAGCCGGGGGGACCCGAAGUCGGUAGUCUAACCGCAAGGAGGACGCCGCCGAAGGUAAAACUGGUGAUUGGGGUGAAGU
rnacentral:rRNA from 1 species